UUGAACGUGUUCUGGUAAGACAAUUGUUAUUUCAUUUUGAGGGUAAGGAAGUGGGUGUAGAAUAAUCGCUGAUGUUAACGUGAUGUUCAUUCCUGUAGGGUGACUUUGUGGUGGAUUGGGAUUUGGCAAAUCAUAGAUUGACAGUCUUAAAGCAGCCGCGUAAGCGGUUCAAUGCAUUCCAUCACGAAUUACACAAAAAACAUUUAUCAUACGAAAGUCACGCAGAAGCAGUAGGUUCUGGGGGUAGCAUGGUUGACCCCAUCAUCUGGGAUAAGCUGUGUGCGAGGUGGGGAAGUGAAGACUUCAAGAAAAUCUCAAGACAAAAUAAGGAGAAUAGAAAGAAGCUAACCAAUACCCACAUUGUAGGCCGCAAAUCCUUUGUUAGGAUAUUGGAGGAGAAGGUAUAAUCUUUCAACUGAUUUAUGUCGUAACUUGUAUGGUCACAACCCAUUUUCCAUAGACUCAUGUUUUUGAUUGAUCAUAGCUAACUAUACAAAUUCCAAACACUUGUAGCGGGUGAUGAAUGCAACUUUGGUGCAGUUUUAUAAGGAGACUCAUUGGUCGAAGAAGAACGGUAAAUUUGUCACCUCAACUACUGAAGACACCUAU